CCACGCUCUGGGCUCAGUGCACCCACAGCUUUUCGGAAGAUCCUCACUUCCCCAAGCAUGCGUCUGCUCCUUCUCCUGGCUCCAAAGCAGGGGAUUGUCCUGACCCUGCCACAGCCGGCCGCUAGGAACACUUGGGGGUUAGGAGCUUCCUUUGUUCCUACGCAGGAGACAGAGCCUGUUGACUAGCCCUGAACCAGCCCCCGAGGCCCGAGGAACGUCUGGAGCUGGUCAUCUGAGGCCAUCCCUUGUGUGAUCACUCGCUACAGCAAGGGCAGUCGGGUUACCCUGCUUGGUUGAGACAUGAAAGCAAUCAGGGCCCACCCCUGGAGCCGGAGGUGCACGGAGCCCCUCCAGCCAACCUAGCUGCCACUUCAGGUGGAAAGGAAGAAUGUGGAUGGAGGGGAACCAAACGCACGUCUGUCUCGUUACAACGUGUUGGUCUUUGGUGAGUUUGCCCUCGGAGGAUUGCUUCCCGCUUGGCCUGCUCUGCUCUGUAUUGUCAGCGUGUGCGUGUGCGCAUGCGCGCGCAUGCCCGCAGUGGAGAGGGGCUGGUCCCCGGAGGAUGUGUUUCCCCGUCUCCCAGGGCCGCUGACUUCUCCUGGCCUCAGCCAAUGGGAAGCGUUAUUGAAGAAGCGGAGAGAAGAGGGCAGGGAGAAGCCAGAGUAUUUCUCCCCAUCUCUGUCGGCCUCGGGCAGCUUCUCUGGAAACAGCCGCCUCGCCUGCCAGGCUCCAGCUCCCCCAGACGGGCCCUUCGUCAUCUCAGCUUCCACCUGGUGGCCCCAUCCCUGGGCCCCGAAACCACCACCUUGUGUCCCUCCAGCCUACGGGUGGGGGCUUCCUGCCGUUCCCAGGUUCCAGGGCGCACGCGUCACCACCCUGUUGGGUCUCAGCAGCUCCACCCCUGUGUAAACCACUUCCCUCUGCUCCUUACCCACUGGUCUGGCAUCUUGGUGGACACCCUGACUGUCCAGGGUGGCUGGAACCUCUUACCUGCUGCUUCUCUCCCUCCACCCUGCACCCACCUACCCCUCUCCCUGCCUGAGAGUCAGCUCACUCCCUUCCACCACCACCCCACCACCCCCGCAGCCCCUGCCACCACCAGAAGGAGCGGAUGGGAGGGGCAGCCUCAAGACCACAGGCGCUACCCAACUCAACUAUGGGGAACUUAUGAUACGUUAAAAACAACAGAUUUAAGAGGAGCUCGAGCAAAGAAGACAGACAUUCAAUGUUAGCUAAGGCCUCAAAAUAAAAUAUUGACUUCAAGACAGACUUUUUGAAAGACUCUGGCAGAAGCCAAUAAAAAGAAUUCAUUUUCACUUAAAUCUUCUGAAACCCACCCUCCUUGCAUCUUUUUCUCCAUACUGUAAAUUAUCUUUACUCACCGACACCCAAUUAUACCUCUCCUGCUCCUUCUUCUCCUUCCCCUGACCUGCUAGGUCAACUACCUGUUCCCAGCAUUUUUCUCAGGAAAGGGUCACAUUUCACAGUAUGCCCUCAAAAUUGCUCGGCUAAAAGGCUGAUCUGGAAGUCAAAUUUAAGUUAAGGGCUAUAAUUAAGGAUUCCAAAACCUCAGGAAGACAGACAAAAGAAGUCUGCAGAAUUAUGGAUUUUGUUAGUUAGUUACUAUCCUGGAUGACCAGAUCCAUACCAAUGAGUUCACUCAACUUUAAGCCCCUCACGUGGGGGAAUGUUUAAGAGAAUGGGAAAAGCCAAGGAAGGAUUUAAAUAACCCAGCUGCACAUGAUUCAGAUAUUGGCCUUGAGAGGACAAGCAAACUAGAAAAUGAAAUACAUAUGGCCAUUACCGAAGUCUUCCCCUUAAAGGGAGAUUGGACAAAAAGUCAAAGUUGUGAAUAAAAUGAAGAUGACUCAGUAGGACACUAGACUUCAGGAAACCUUUCAACAAUAUUCUAAGAUCCAUCUAGCAGCUGAAGUAAAAGGAGCCUUACCCUCUCUUUUUAGAAAUAGACUCACAUCUCAGAUAGAAAACUUAGUCAGAAAAAUAAAUUGGAGUGGGAAAUUGCCAAUUUAGAAGAUCUGCAAAGUGCAGCUUAACAUUUUCAAAAAGCCCUAGAAAAUAAACAAGCUAGAAAUGAAAACAAACUCUUGG
rnacentral:lncRNA from 1 species